rnacentral:rRNA from 1 species
AUACAAGUCGAGCGGGGAAAGGUAGCUUGCUACCUGACCUAGCGGCGGACGGGUGAGUAAUACUUAGGAAUCUGCCUAUUAGUGGGGGACAACGUUUCGAAAGGGACGCUAAUACCGCAUACGCCCUACGGGGGAAAGCAGGGGAUCACUUGUGACCUUGCGCUAAUAGAUGAGCCUAAGUCGGAUUAGCUAGUUGGUGGGGUAAAGGCCUACCAAGGCGACGAUCUGUAGCGGGUCUGAGAGGAUGAUCCGCCACACUGGGACUGAGACACGGCCCAGACUCCUACGGGAGGCAGCAGUGGGGAAUAUUGGACAAUGGGGGGAACCCUGAUCCAGCCAUGCCGCGUGUGUGAAGAAGGCCUUAUGGUUGUAAAGCACUUUAAGCGAGGAGGAGGCUCCUAUAGAUAAUACCUAUAGUGAGUGGACGUUACUCGCAGAAUAAGCACCGGCUAACUCUGUGCCAGCAGCCGCGGUAAUACAGAGGGUGCAAGCGUUAAUCGGAUUUACUGGGCGUAAAGCGUACGUAGGCGGCUAAUUAAGUCGGAUGUGAAAUCCCCGAGCUCAACUUGGGAAUUGCAUUCGAUACUGGUUAGCUAGAGUAUGGGAGAGGAUGGUAGAAUUCCAGGUGUAGCGGUGAAAUGCGUAGAGAUCUGGAGGAAUACCGAUGGCGAAGGCAGCCAUCUGGCCUAAUACUGACGCUGAGGUACGAAAGCAUGG